GGUCAAGCGACUAAGUGCAUGUGGUGGAUGCCUUGGCGACUACAGGCGAUGAAGGACGCGCAAGCCUGCGAUGAGGCUCGGGGAGCUGGCAAUGAAGCUUUGAUCCGGGCAUUU
rnacentral:rRNA from 1 species